CAGAGGGGCACGAGGGAGCCCUGAGCUACACACUACUGCUAGGAUCAUUGGGCUACCAUCUCUAGUUUGGUACAGAAGCAAAACUCGGAAGAAGAUUGUGUUCCAUCAUCAUCAUCAUCAUCGAGUUGGUGAAAGCGCAGUUGCAGGAAUCCGAGAAAAUCCCGGAUCGCUGAGUAAUAAAACACUGAGAUAAGAAUCAGACACGAUGUUUGCGAUAAUCCAGAUCGAGAACGACGUUAGUGGGCGCGAGUUCCGUAGAAAAAUGCGCCCGAAAUACGAAUUCAUCUGCAAAUAUUGCCAACGAAAAUUCACCAAAUCCUACAAUCUGAUGAUCCACGAACGGACACACAAAAGCCCCGAACUCACCUUUUCCUGCGAGGUGUGCGGCAGGGGAUUCAAACGCCAGGAUAACCUCAAACAGCACAGAUGUAAUCAAUGCAUAUGGCGGUAAAGGGCUCCUGACCGAUGGCUAAUUCCGGCCCUGUUCUUCUUUCAUUGCAAUGACAAUACACUACUCAGCUACGGCCUACAGCUGUUUUUCAAGAUUUUAAUUAAUCUCGAAUUAAUUACACAAUUUUCCUAUUAUCGCAGUAUUCACCCAAAAUUGCAUUUUGUACAUAAAACGUAAGUUAAUUAAGUUAAUUACUUUGAAAUUUAGCCAGACUACAGUCUAGUCUAAAAAUCCAUUAAUUAAAUUGUGCAAUUUCGACUUGUACUUCAUUUUUUUAAUAACGUACUAAACAAUGUAAAUUAACUGUGUUUUUUUUGCCGUGGCAAAAAAAACAACAGUGUUUAGUUUUAAGCUCGCAAUAUUUAGUUUAGGUUUUUUUGUAAGCAUUAUAUUUAUUAACUAGAGCUUUAUAUUAAAUGAUGAAACAAU